GUUUGAACAAGGCAAACCACGGCGAAAGCAUGGGACGCAAAGCCUCCGGCCUAAUGGAAACUGGCUUCAUCGUCAGGGUCUCAAUGGUAGCGGGGUUGCCAGA
rnacentral:ncRNA from 1 species